rnacentral:rRNA from 1 species
ACGGAAGGCAGCAGUAAGGAAUAUUGGGCAAUGGGGGAAACCCUGAUGUAGCGACGCCGCGUGAGUGAUGAAGUAUUUCGGUAUGUAAAGCUCUAUCAGCAGGGAAGAAAAUGACGGUACCUGACUAAGAAGCACCGGCUAAAUACGUGCCAGCAGCCGCGGUAAUACGUAUGGUGCAAGCGUUAUCCGGAUUUACUGGGUGUAAAGGGAGCGUAGACGGCAUGGCAAGCCAGAUGUGAAAGGCAGGGGCUCAACCCCUGGACUGCAUUUGGAACUGUCAAGCUAGAGUAUCGGAGAGGUAAGUGGAAUUCCUAGUGUAGCGGUGAAAUGCGUAGAUAUUAGGAGGAACACCAGUGGCGAAGGCGGCUUACUGGACUGUAACUGACGUUGAGGCUCGAAAGCGUGGGGAGCAAACAGGAUUAGAUACCCUGGUA